rnacentral:lncRNA from 1 species
UAACACGCUGCUGAUGUUGACGACACUGCACUGCAUCCAACCUUCCCACACACACCAAAUCAUUUUCCUUACAUUCUUCCCACAAAUUUCAACAACAAAAUAAUCUCAUACAACACACCAAAACCACUACCACCAUACACACACUGCUUCAAUCCCUAACAACAUUCUUCACACACACUCUAUCAUCAUCAUCAUGAUCUGAAAAAGGAAAAAAAAAAACCUAUCGUGUUAUGG